GAUGAACGCUGGCGGCGUGCCUAAUACAUGCAAGUCGAGCGAACAGAUAAGGAGUUUGCUCCUUUGACGAUCGCGGCGGACGGGUGAGUAACACGUGGGUCAUCUAUCUAUAAGACUGGGAUCACUUCGGGAAACCGGAGCUUAUACCGGAACACAUUAGGAAACGUAUGGUUCUAUAGAAAAAGAUGGUUUUGCUAUCACUUAUAGAUGGACCCGCGCCGUAUUAGCUAGUUGGUAAGGUAACGGCUUACCAAGGCAACGAUACGUAGCCGACCUGAGAGGGGGAUCGGCCACACUGGAACUGAGACACGGCCCAGACUCCUACGGGAGCCAGCGUAGGGGAAUCUUCCGCAAUGGGCGAAAUCCGGACGGAGCAACGCCGGUUGGGGGAUGAAGGGUUUCGGUUGUUAAACCUCGUUGAUUAGGGAGGAACAGUCUCGUAAGUAUCUGUGCACGCCUUGACGGUACCUAAUCAGAAAGCCACGGCUAACUACGUG
rnacentral:rRNA from 1 species